rnacentral:lncRNA from 1 species
UUAUAUAUUUCUUACCACUUUUAUAAGAAAGCUAGUAUUAAAGAUAAAAUAUAAUAACUCUCUACAGAUAGUUACCCCAUAAGAUUAUAAUAUACUUCUUUUGCUCUAAAAUAUAUGAUGUUUAGACAUAUGCACAACUAUUAAAAAAAUUACUUUUUGUCAAAAAAUGUUAUUUUUUGUCUAAAAAUUAUCAAUUAUAUAAAUUAAAAAUUAUUUAUCCAAUUACAAAAUACUAUUGGUUAUAACAUUUUAAAUAAAAUGAAAGUUACCUAGAAAAAUGAUAAUAUAUUAUAUAUAAAAACAUCAAAUUUUUUUUUAAAACAUCAUACAUUACGAAACAGGGGAGUAUUUUUUAUAUCUUAUCUUAAGUCUGCCACAUGUAUACACCAAGACU